AUUGAACGCUGGCGGCAUGCCUUACACAUGCAAGUCGAACGGCAGCACGGGAGCAAUCCUGGUGGCGAGUGGCGAACGGGUGAGUAAUACAUCGGAACGUGCCCAAUCGUGGGGGAUAACGCAGCGAAAGCUGUGCUAAUACCGCAUAAGAUCUACGGAUGAAAGCAGGGGAUCGCAAGACCUUGCGCGAAUGGAGCGGC
rnacentral:rRNA from 1 species